rnacentral:rRNA from 1 species
CAGCAGCCACGGUAACACGGAGGGGGCUAGCGUUGUUCGGAAUUACUGGGCGUAAAGCGCGCGUAGGCGGUUACUCAAGUCAGAGGUGGAAGCCCGGGGCUCAACCCCGGAACUGCCUUUGAAACUAGGUGACUAGAAUCUUGGAGAGGUCAGUGGAAUUCCGAGUGUAGAGGUGAAAUUCGUAGAUAUUCGGAAGAACACCAGUGGCGAAGGCGGCUUACUGGCUCAUACUGGACGCUGAGGUGCGAAAGCGUGGGGAGCAAACAGGAUUAGAUACCCGAGUAGUCCCUGUCUCUUAUAC